UUUUUUUUUUUAAUUUAUUUUUUAUUGUUAUUUCCCCCAACACACUUUUUUUUUUUCUGCUGUACAGCAUGGGGACCCAGUUACACAUACAUGUAUACAUAAUUUUUUCUCCCAUUGUCGUGCUGCAUUAAGUAUCUAGACAUAGUUUUCAGUACUAUACAGCAGGAUCUCAUUGUAAAUCCAUUACAUGAGCAAUAGUUUGAAUCCACUGACCCCCAAGCUCCCAAUCUCUCCCACUCCCUCCCCCUUGGCAAACACAAGUCUAUUCUCCAAGUCCAUGAUUUUCUUUACUGUGGAAAGGUUCGUUUGUGCUGGAUAUUAGAUACCAGAUAUAAGUGAUAUCAUAUGGUGUUUGUCUUUCUCUUUCUGACUUAUUUCACUCAGUAUGAGAGUCUCUAGUUCCAUCCAUGUUGCUACAAAUGGCAUUAUGUCAUUUUUUCUAUGGCUGAGUAGUAUUCCAUUGUGUGUAUAUACCACAUCUUCCUAAUCCAAUUGUCUGUAGAUGGACAUUUGGGUUGUUUCCAUGUCUUGGCUAUUGUAAAUAGAGCUGCAAUGAACAUGUGGGGGCAUGUGUCUUUUUAAAGGAAAGUUUUGUCUGGAUAUAUGCCCAAGAGUGGGAUUGCUGGAUCAUAUGGUAGUUCUAUGUAUAGAUUUCUAAGGUACCUCCAUACUGUCCUCCAUAGUGACUGUACCAGCUUACAUUCCCACCACCAGUGCAGGAGGGUUUCCAGAAAGAGGAUUCUGAAUGAGCUUAGCACUCAGUUACAAUGCUAAUUUCUCUUGACUGGAAAUCACUUUCUUCAGGGCUUUUGCUGAAAGGACCAAUCAAGAUUCCUGUUGUACCACCAGUUUUUCAAACAGUUUUGGGACAUCCAUUGUUGCAGUAACCCUCAGAGUCUACAGAAGGUGUCUAUAGCAUCUUUUUGUGUGUGUGUCUUGCACGUAGAAGUUCCCAGUCCAGGGAUUGAACUUGUGCCACAGCUGUAAGCACAGCCACAGCAGUGACAAUGCCAGAUCUUUAAUCUGCUGAGUCACCAGGGAACUCCUAUAGAAUCUUGUUUUUUAUUUUUUUAAGGAGAAUAUGAUUUUCUUUUCAGAAGGUGAUGAUUCAUAGUCAAGGGUAGGACUCAAACCAUGGAAUGUUUUGGGCUAAGACAGUAUAAAACAAUGGAAUGCAAGUAUUCAUUUUUAUCUGUGAUGCUUGUAAACAUCCAUUAAAAGUGUAAAUGCUCAAUUUAACUCCAUUUACCCCAAUCUACUAAAGACUAUAAAAGAUUAAGAUAAUGGAAUAAAAUAUUAGUCCCUGUGUAACAUACAAACCCUUGGGUAACAUCAAAAGCAAAAUGUAAAAUGAGUGCCUUUAAUUGUAAUAUUUACACUCUCCCUGGCUGUCCCAACAUCAUUUAUAGGCAGCUUAAUUAAACACUAUCCUAACUCAGCAUAAGGAGACCUGAGGGGACAUAUUUUAUACCUUCAAACCAUAAGUGUGAAAGAAAGCUUUGUUUCUGAAGCCUUUGUCCUUGUAAUGAUUAGGCAACCUGGAGAACAUGCAUGAGUCACCCAAACUGCUCCUUGCUUGGUCACCUAAGAGGUCAAAGGGGACAGUGCUGCCAUGCUUUAUGACCUGCUUUUGCCACACACUCUCCAGGUGCCCCUGUUCUCUAGGAACCUGAAAUUCUGACUCCAUAUUGCACAUGCUGACAACCUCCACUUUUACAACACACUCUAGCUCCGAAGAGCUGGGCUUCAGCUACACUCAGAAGUAUCACUAUCCUGAGGAGUCUUGGCAACAUUUUAAUAAUAAGCAGAAUUUUUGCAUUUUUAACAUCUUCAAAAUUCAUGAUGCAUCUUAGAAUUGAUGCAUUAUAAUAGUCAAUGUCAACCAGGUGGCAAGUACAGUGCUUUGAGCGAAAACCUUCUAUAGACAGCCCCUGGAUGAAUCAUGAAGGCAUCACCAUCUAAGCACCUUAGAGUCAAUAAAAAAUGAGUGUCUUCAACCAGAUAACAUAGCUAACAUUUACUGACAACUUUCCGUGGACUGUUGUACCAGUUAUCGGAUGUCACAUUAAUUCUGCCUAACCAACAACCAUAAAACCUCAGUGUUAUACAACAAUCAACAUUUAUUAUUAUUUCUCAUGAAUCUGUGGGAUGACAGAAAUUCUGAUUUAGGCCAGGCCCAGCUGGACUUACCAUGUGUCUGCAGUCAGCUUCAGCUGUGUGUUUCUGCUGAUCUUGGUUGGGUUCCCUCAUGUUUGAAAAUUAGCUAACAGGAGGCUGGUUGACUGGGACAUGUUUCCUUCCUCCUGUUGUUCCUUCCUCAGGCAGUUUAACCUUAGCUUGUACUCCAGGUAGCAGGAUUCCAAAAGAGGAGAUGAACUCAUGCAAAAAGUUUUUUCAAGAUUCUGCAUGAAUAAUAAACAUUCUACUGGCCAAAGCAAGUCCUUUCCAUAAGCCCCCAAACAAACCUGAAGAUUCUCAGAUCUUCCUCUGAGCUCUCUUUGGCCUCCUGUAACACUUAGCUAGAGAUGGACAUCUGCUGCCCCCUUUAGGGUUGGUGAUCACUUUUCAGCCUACCACCUUCUGAACCUGCCAACCUUAGUCAUGAGCCAUAUCUGCCUAAUAUCUGUGGCCUUACACACUGUGCAUCCUAUUUAAUUCUUAAUAUCUACACCUUUAACUACUACUGUAAUUAAAAACUACAAUACAGCUUUGAAAAUUGUCAAACAUAUCUUCCUGUCAAGCCCAUCUAUCAUCUGAAAAAAAAAAUGCUAGAGCUACUGCUAAAAAGUAUAUCAAAGUAACUCACAUAGGAUCCUUGUGGGAAUUCCUUUACAUCUUUCCCAAGGAACUAGAAACUCACCAAACGUUGAAAACCAAGACCAAAAUCAUGCUCAAGAUUAGUGAUCACAGUCUUUCUUUUAAAUCAACCUGUCUAAAACCCUUAUUCUAAAUCAAUCUGGUAAGAAUGACAGCUGUUAGAAGACUAUACUGCUAGUGCUAGAUUCACACUAAUAGCUGGUCUUAAAACUUUAAGAAAAGGAUAAAGUAGUGGGUCAAAGAUGCAGGGUCUGCUCAUCUGGAUUUAUUUUGUAAUCUUAGUCUAUUGAUCACUUUCUCUAAAUAUUUUGUCAAUUAUUUAUAGAAAAGUGAGGAAGAACAUUCCUUUGAUGCCACAUUUUUAUCCCCAAACCAUCCUUUGGAGAUCUAGUGUAUUACAAGUUUAUUGUGGUCUUCAAUCUUCAAGGGAUCAUUUCACCAAGUUUAUUUCUCUCUAACUUAAAUGCUAGCUGAUGGCAAGGUCCAGGGAAAAAAGCUUCAGACAAACAGUGUACUUGGAUAUUUGUAUUUCUUGUGCUUGAGCAAUUCAAUAAAACUGCUUGGUAGGCUGCCUUGGGAUAUGACAGGCUUAACAGCCCGCUGAACAAACAGUGGAGUUGCUGUCACACUUGAAUUACAGUCUGUUUAAACUUCAAAUCAGCUACAACACAGGGCUCACAUUUCCUGAGCAGGUGGGAAAGAAAAGCCUCCAGGAUAUCAAGGAGACAACUGCCUAAAUCCUAAAGAGGAGGUUUCCAGACUUUUGAAGAGGACACUAGACAAACAAUAAAUUGAAACUUUUCCUAAACGUUCAAGGAAAAGCUUCCUUAAAAUCUAAUCUUAUGAAGUACAGUAGAGAUGUGAGCAAGUAUAAAUCAGAGGUAUCCUGAAAUGGUCUGUAAUGGAUCAAAAUUUAGAUGACAGUUGUAAAACAUCAUUUUAAGUUUCCCUGGCUUGGUUACAAAUGUAACCUGAGAACCAGAAGAAUGUUAAGGUUUUUCUAUGCUAUUUUAAAUCAGUGGUUCUUGGAAACACACAUAUACACAAACACACACAUGUAUUAUCUCUCUAUCUAUCUAUCUAUCAGAUUAAGUUGGUUUUAGGUGCUUAUUUAGAGUAGGCUUACCCAAAUCACAUAAUCUAGUUUGCUGCUAUUUAUGCUGGUAUAUUUGACAACUGUUACCCUGAGUGACAAUUAUAGAUCAGUUUCCUUUAUUUUCUGGGUCUCCAGCUUGACCAAGUGAUAUAUCACCAUCUCUGAAUUGGUGGUGGCUGGUGAACAAACUAUGCUUUUGUUUGUUCAUCUUUUAAAAAUCAUCCAAAUUAAAUGUGCAUUUAAGAAUUGAGGGUUCUUAAAUACAUCCAUACAAUAGAGACUACUUUGCCAUCAUUAAACAUGAUGAGGUAACAUUAACAUCCAAAAGGAGAAAUACUUAGGUAUAAACCUAACAAAACAUGUUUAAGAACUAAAUGAGGUAAAUUGCAAAACUGUUGAAACUAAUCAAAGGAAGACUAAAUAGAGAGAUAAUCCACAUUCAUGAACAGAAGGGCUCAAUAGUAUUAAGACGUCAGUUCUUCCUGACUCGAUCUAUAGAUUCAAUGGAAACAUUAUCCUAUAAACACAUGCACGAUCAUUCUAUAUAUUCAUGAAAGCAUCAAAAGACAACUGGAAGAAUAUAUACUAGUUAUGAUGAUUAUCCAUAAGUGGCAGCUCAAUAAUGAGUGAUCACCCUGUUAGAUUUUUACAAUUUAUAUUGCUUGUUAUUAUAUCAAGUAUGUAUUGGUUUUAUCAUCAGCAAACAAACAAACAACAAAAACGCUAUGAUGAGAAAAGACAAUAAAGUUUAUAAUCAGGAAAGCCAGACAGACUGAGGAGAUGAUGCAGGUUCUUUUCUACAUUUAGGGCAGACUGGGCGGUGAGUGCUGUCCUCAAAACUUCUGCCACAAAGUCCCCUCAAUAGCAAAUUUUCCAACACACACAGCUUCCAGGCCUUGAAACCAGUUCAUCUGACAAGGUGGGGGAGACAGCACUGAGGGCAAAGAGAGAUGGCCUGAGAGAGAGCACAGUGCUUUCAUUGGGUUUAUUGAUCAGACAUACAGUGUCAUGAGGUUCAGGCCAUUGUGAAUAAUCACUAUCACAUGGGAGCACUGAAUCUUUCACCACCACUAGCCAGAGUCUCACGCCUUCCAAGGGAUGCUGCCUCCACCCAAGUUUUCAUCCUGGAGCGGAUACUCUAUGCUUGUAGUCAUUCUAUGCUUGGAUCAUACACAACAAUGAAUCACAAAAGAAAAAAAGAGGCAGGGGUGGGGGUGGGGCAGAAAGCUUGCACAGAAAAUGUGGAAUAAGUAUUUUAGUUAUUACGUUACCAUUUUUCAAGUAUGAAACCCCCAAAAAAAGUUUGGGAAGAGGGAAUGGGAAGGAAAGGAAAGUUAGAGGAUGUCAAGUCUCAGCUGUUAACCUUCUCCUUUCCCCCAAAGCUUAUUAAAAAAUAUGCAGCAAUCUGUUAAUGCCCUUAGGAGGUGAGUCUAGGCCCUGUUGAGAGCUUCCUAUUCCCCCAACUCUUCCCAAUCCUUUCUGAGCACAUUUCAGAAGGGCAAAAGGACAGGCCCAGCAUCCACCAAGCAGAAUAUUCCUGAAAGACUCCUGAGUGUGAAGGCAGUGUGACACGGUAGUCACAACCAUAAAGAAGCCAAGUCUAAGCCUCCAGGGAGAGAGCAGUCUUUGUUCUGCCACCAUCUGCACUUCCUUGAGGAGAGCGAGACGAGGGCCCCCCUCAGCCAUCAUCCCUCACAGAUGCUUUCACUGAGUACCACAAAAAAAGGCCCAAAGUUGCCUAAGGCCCACGAGAUACCCCUGUGCAAUGAGAUAAGGGAUCUCAGGAUGAAAUGAGUGGCCACUCAGUAUGAAAGGUACCCACCCUGCUUGCUAAGCUAGCUCCUUUGACUUCUGACAGUCAUUUGCUUUUUAUGACACAUAUGAGCUACCUACUUUGUUCCGCCUCUGGAAUUUUUGUCCCUUUGGCUCGUGUCCUUCUGUUUGGGUGCAUUUAGUCUUCCCUGUGCCAACUGUGCCUACAGUGGUUGUGAUCCAUGGUUUUGCUCUUACUUAGAACACAUACCUGUUCCUCAGACCCUGCUCCAGGGCACUGAGCCUGCUGUCCCUUCAGCACUCAUACCCUUUACUGAAAGGGUCUUCAAGACCUAUACCCCUUUGGGUUGCACUGGCACCCAGCCUCUAGGAGUGACCGGCUGCCCUCUUGAAGGCUUUUAUGGAUCCAGCAGCUAAUUCUCAGGGGCCAUUUCUGCCUCUCUCCUCCCCCAAGGGGCAACUAGACACAGGCUUAGGAAACCUGCUUCUCAUUUCUUUAAUGUCCCAGGAAUCAGGGAGUUCCCAGCGUGGCUCAGCAAAAAUAAAUCUGAUUUGUAUCCAUGAGGACGCAGGUUCAAUCCCUGGCCUUGCUAAGUGGGUUAAGGAUCUGGCGUUGCCGUGAGCUGUGGUGUAAGUCACAGAUGCGACUGGGAUACCGAGUUGCUGUAGCUGUGGUGUAGGCUAGCAGCUACAGCUCCGAUGUGACCCCUAGACUAGAAACUUCCAUAUGAUGCAGUUGCAGCCCUAAAAAGAAAAAAAAAAAAAUUGUCCCAGGAAUCAUAUUCAGUGGACAAAUGACCCUGAGGUCCACCUGCAUUU
rnacentral:lncRNA from 1 species